UCCUGGCUCAGGAUGAACGCUAGCUACAGGCUUAACACAUGCAAGUCGAGGGGAAACGACAUCGAAAGCUUGCUUUCGAUGGGCGUCGACCGGCGCACGGGUGAGUAACGCGUAUCCAACCUGCCCACCACUUGGGGAUAACCUUGCGAAAGUAAGACUAAUACCCAAUGACAUCCAUAGAAGACAUCUGAAAUGGAUUAAAGAUUUAUCGGUGAUGGAUGGGGAUGCGUCUGAUUAGCUUGUUGGCGGGGUAACGGCCCACCAAGGCGACGAUCAGUAGGGGUUCUGAGAGGAAGGUCCCCCACAUUGGAACUGAGACACGGUCCAAACUCCUACGGGAGGCAGCAGUGAGGAAUAUUGGUCAAUGGGCGAGAGCCUGAACCAGCCAAGUAGCGUGCAGGACGACGGCCCUAUGGGUUGUAAACUGCUUUUAUAAGGGAAUAAAGUGAGUCUCGUGAGACUUUUUGCAUGUACCUUAUGAAUAAGGACCGGCUAAUUCCGUGCCAGCAGCCGCGGUAAUACGGAAGGUCCGGGCGUUAUCCGGAUUUAUUGGGUUUAAAGGGAGCGUAGGCCGGAGAUUAAGCGUGUUGUGAAAUGUAGAGGCUCAACCUCUGCACUGCAGCGCGAACUGGUCUUCUUGAGUACGCACAACGUGGGCGGAAUUCGUGGUGUAGCGGUGAAAUGCUUAGAUAUCACGAAGAACUCCGAUUGCGAAGGCAGCUCACGGGAGCGCAACUGACGCUGAAGCUCGAAAGUGCGGGUAUCGAACAGGAUUAGAUACCCUGGUAGUCCGCACGGUAAACGAUGGAUGCCCGCUGUUGGCCUGAAUAGGUCAGCGGCCAAGCGAAAGCAUUAAGCAUCCCACCUGGGGAGUACGCCGGCAACGGUGCAACUCAAAUGAAUUGACGG
rnacentral:rRNA from 1 species